rnacentral:lncRNA from 1 species
CAUGGGCCAACAACAUGUCUGGUCCAUAAAGUAGCUAGGUUGAUCGUUCAAUUAAGAAAUGAUAAAUAUCACCACAAUGUCAAGUAAGUGGUGUGAGAUAAAAACACUCUCCCACCCGUUGCUCAAGAAGAUUUAAGAACCAUAAGCAUUUAUCUUUUCUAGAAUAAUGUUUUAUUCAUAGAAAUCAUUGAAAAAUGAUCGUCGGAUUCCAUAACGAAUUAUACUCUGACAUCUGUUUAUUUGGACAACUAUCCUAUAUUGGAAAUGUCUAAGCCUUUAAAUAUCCAAAAAUCUUCUUAUAAAAACAGUCUGACAUCAAAUCAAAGUAUAUAUAUUUUUACAUAAACACCUCUCCAUUCGAUAAAAACCUAAUUAGAGGUUGGAGUGUUCGCAGAUACAACCUCCUACUUUUAAAAAGGCGACCAUAAUUGAAUACAACAUAUCUUCUUAAAAAUCACUUAAAUCUAAAGAACUUCACUACGUGAAUGACUUCUUUUUGAAAGGAUAAAUUCAUAAUAAAACAUCUUAUCAUUAUUAAUUAAAAUACAUUGCUUUUUAAUAAAUUGAAUAAAUAUAUAUGAAUUGAAUAAAUAUAAUAUAGUGUUGUUAGACCGUUUAUUAAUAAUAUAUGAAAUUCAAAUGAGAUUUCUAAAAAUAUAUUAUCCUAUUAAAGAACUCUUGUAAAAUCUUGGUUAGCUGUUAGAAAUUGAUUUAUCGAUCAACCAUUUAAAGACAGGGUAAAGUUUUAUAUUGACUAACUAAACACAUGAAUUUUUAAUCCAUAACAUAAUUUAAAUCCCAAGAGAAACACACUUCCAGAUCAAAAACUUUGACCAACAUACCAACCUUGAAGGUAUAUAUCCACCAUAUUAAUUAAUUAUAAAGUACAUGUUAAUAGUGUUUGUUUCCAUGUGAGAUGAUCAAGAACUGCAUUUGAAAAUGUGUCUUAAACAUGAAAGGAUUAAAAUGGUUUCAUGGCACUGCUUCCAUCUUCUCACAUUCUUCUCGAACUUCUUGAAAAAGAGAACUGGACAAAUACCUUUCACCAAAGCUUGGAAAUACAACCUGUAAUUUAAUAAAAAUUGUGGGUAUUAAAAUUAAAAUAAUGUAUUUUAAUUUUGCAAAAUUGAAAAUUUAUUUUUGAGUAAAAAGUUUGAAAGUGAUAUUAUUAUGAAAAUGAAAUAAUAGGAUUUGAUCAGCUAAAGGAGAGGUAUAAUUCAUGUCUACCAUUGUUUACAUACCAUUCGAAAUGGAUUAAACUCCUUAAACAAUACGUGUUCUUUAUAAGAUUAAAUAAAAAAAAUUAUCUUUAUAAAUAUAUCAUUUUCUUAUUUAUAGUAUAUUAAAAGAAUUAUUUUUAAAAUCUGGUUAAGAAAACUCAAUUGAUAACCGUGUAAUAAAUUAUUUUGACUAAAAAAAUUAUUUUUUAACCCUAAAUGUUCAUUGUGAAAAUUUUGACAAGUACUAUUAAGAAUUGCAUGCGUUUUAAAAGCAAAUUACUGCUACUUUCAAAUUAAAGGAACAAUUCAAAUUUCUUAAAGGCAAAUUAAGAAGUUGGAAUUACGAACUGAUUGGAAAGAUUAAUUUAAAGGUAGAAGCGACUAUUAAAUAUUUAAAUGAAUUAGAUUAGACGGUUGCAAAUGAGGUUUUACAUGUUCCAUCUAAGGUAGUAGUCGAUCCGAUGGAGGCAUCAAGCAAAGUUUGGCAGAAAUUUCCGCAUAAAGAACUAUCUUCAGGAAAAAAUCUAGAUUCAUGUGGAUUCGCGAGGGUGACUCCUAUACUAAAUUGUUCCCUUUAGUAAUAAAGAUGAGCUUUUGUAGAAAUGACAUACUGAGCUAAAUUUAAAAAAUGGAAGAUUGGAGGAAGUGAAAGAGAUUCAAGAAACCUAAAGCUUUAAGAUCAAAUCUUGACGAGGUGAUUUUGAAACAAUUUUAUAUGGAAGGCCGAAUUAUGCUGGAAGAGUUGUUUACUCAAGAGGAAAUAAAGAAAGUUGUGUAGCAUUAAGAUAGUGAAAAAAAAAAGAUUUGAACCAGAUGCGUACAAUAUGGGGUUCUUCAAGAAGUGUUGGGAGAUUCUUCGGGAAGAAAUAUUUGAUUUUGUAAACGAAUUUUAUGUCAAAGCUAAAGUUCCCAAGGCCCAUCGGUCACAAUGACAUUUUUUAGUCUAAUACCAAAAUCAAUCAACCCCCAGAUACUUAAUGAAUUCAAACCAAUAUGUUUGACGCACUCUUUCUACAAAAGAAUAUCCAAGGUUCUAGUGGCAAGAUUGAAGAAAGUAGUGGGAUCUCUUAUUCCUAGUUGCCAAUUUUCUUUCAUUCCAAAGAGGCAAAUGUUAGAUGGGGUGAUGGUCAUCAAAGAAGUGGUGGAUUUUACAAGAAGAAAUAAAAAAGAAUGCUGGUUGUUGAAAGUAGAUUUUGAGAAGGCAUUCGAUUGUGUCUCGUGAGAAUAACUUAAAUAACUAAUGAGAAGAAUGAGAUUUGGAAAUAGAUGGUUGAAGUGGAUGGAAGUUUACGUGUUUUUAAGUAGCAUGUAUGUCCUUGUGAACGGUAGCGUAAUAAAGUACUUCCAAGUGUAGACAACUUUGCGCCAGGGGGACCCCUGUCACCCUUUUUGUUAUUACUUGUAGUAGAAGGUUUGUUGGGUUUAAUGAAAUAUUCCAUUCAAUAGGGUGAACUCCAACCUUUUAAAGUGUCUAAGGAUUUACACUCUGAAAUGCUUCAAUUUUUAGACGAUACAAUAAUAUUGGGUGAGGGGUCGUGGGAAAACUUGUGUAGCAUAAAGGCGGUAUUAUGUGAAUUUGAGUUGGUUUCAGGAUUAAGAGUGAACUCCUUCCAGAACAAGAUCAUACACAUCAACUUGAAGGAGGAUUUUGUGCAUGCAGCCACACCAUUUAUCUCUUGUGGCAUAGGCUCUAUCACAUUCAAUUUUCUUGGAGUACUUGCGGGCAUCAAUCCUAGAAGGAUAUCAUUUUUGGCUUCAAUCCUAAAAACGUUGUGUAAUCGGCUCACUUCUUGGAAGGCUAGACAAUUUUCUAUAGGUGACGAGUAGUGCUCCUGGACUAUGUGUUGAGUAUUGUCCCAUUAUACUACUUUUCUUUAUAUAAAGUGCCCAAAAUGGUUAUUCAUGAAAUAGAAAAAAUAGAACAUGUUUUUCUUUUGGGAGGGGUUGAAGAGAAGAAGAAGAUGAAUUGGGUUAGUUGGUCCAAAGUGUGCAAGUCAAAGGAUAAAGGUGGGUUAGGAGUUAAAAACUGUGAAUGGUUCAAUUUGGCAUUGUUGAGCAAAUGGAGUUAGAGAUUCUUUAACGAACAAAAUAUGAUUUGGUACGCCCUCCUGCCACAUAGAUAUAGUUUGAUCAAAGAUAAAAUUCUUGAUGUCAAUGGGAUAGAAAAUAGUAAGAAAGGCUCAUCGCGGUGGAAGGAUUUGAGGCUAGUUAAGGGUAAUAGAGAGGAGGAGAAAAUUGGUUUGUGAAUUAUCAUUCUUGUAAAUUUGGAAAUGGCCAAGACAUUGACUUUUGGAGGGACAAGUGGUUAUGCCUGGAUCAUUUAUGAAAUUUUCCCCAUGUUUGUUUCUAUGCGCUACAGUUGAUAAAUCCAAAGUAUGUGAUAUUGGAAGUUAUAUUGACAAUCAGUGGGUGUGGGAAUUGGGUGUGGAUGUGUCUCUUUUAGUAGAGGAAGAAGGGUUGUAAAUUGAGGGCCUGUUUCAUAUUAUAUAUUUGGUCCAUCACUAUUUGGAGUUUGAAGAGUCCUUUGUUUGGUGGAGGGAUGUGUAGUGAUUCUUAGUGAAAGCGAGCUAUGAGAGACUGAACUCCAUUAGUAACUCAGGUUCUCAGGAAGAUGAUCUCAUACUAGGUGAACUUAAUAGGAUAUGCAAGACAAAUUCUCCUAGUAAAGUCCUCUUAUUUAGUUAGAGACUAAUGUUUAAUUGGUUUCUUACUUGAGUUCAAUUGGCUAGAAGAGGGGGUCAUCAAUGGAAGCCUUAAUUUGGUUUUCCCUAUGUUCUUUGGUGAUGAAGAAUUAACCCCUCAUAUGUUCUUGUAGUGUCAUGUUGUAGCUCAGUUUUAAAGGAAGACUCAUAGUACCUCUAUACAACGUCACAUUUAAUUUUCGAAUAGCAAUGAUCAAAUUUAUUGACAGAAAACACUUUAGAAAUCAUUGUUUGAUGGAUUUUGUUUAUAUGAACUAAAAAUGUAAAAUUAUAUAUUUAUAAGGUAUAAAAACUUCUUUUUAAUGAUGAAAUAUGCAUACCACAAUAAGCUUUCCCUCAUUUUCAGGUCUCUUUGCAACCUGUAAUGCAGCGGUUGCAGCACAACCAGAAGAAAUUCCCACCUAUUUAUUAAAGGAAAAAGUAUAAAGUCAACCGUUAAUCAAGAUACACAAGAUAAACAUAAAAUACUAACCAACAAGCCUUCUUGAAGUGCUAUUGUCCUUGCAGUUUUGACAGAUUCUUCACCUGAUAUCUGCAAAAGUUGUUGUUAGAGUGUGAGAAAAGUUUAUUAUUGAAUUUACAGCUUAAGGCUUUCUUUUUAUACAUGUAGAGAGAUUACUUAUAUCAUAAGUAAUCACAAAAACUAACUCAUAACUAACUCAAAGUUAGUUAGACUAUUGUCUAAUCAUGUUCUAAUACACACCUCUAAUAUGAAAUUAUCAAAGACUCUGAUUACAACAACAUACAAUUAUUGGAUCAAUACACUAUAAGCUACAUGGACUCAAAGUACAAACACCAAGUCUUGUUCUAACGUUUGAAGGACUCGAUCUUCAAGGGUUUUGUUAGCAUAUUUACAACUUGUUCUUCUGUGCUACAAUGAGUCAUCUCAAAUUUUCCAUCUUUAGUCAAAUCUAUAAGAAAAUGGAAUCUAACAUUUAUGUGUUUGCAUAUUCCGUGUAUGAUAGGAUUAUUUGACAUCUUGAAUAUGGAAUUUUUAUCAUACUGUAUGAUUGUGCGUUGAUUUUGAAUUUGACCAAGGUUUUGACGAAUGUUUCAAAGCUAUAAUCCUUGACAAGCACAUGAGCCUGCUGCAACAAACUCUGCUUCAGUGCUUGAUAGUGUUACAAUGGAAUGCUUAUUUGAGGACCAUGAUAUGAGGCCUCAUCCAUGAUUGAAGACAUAUCUUGUGGUACUUAGCCUAUCAUCAUUAUCCCUUAGAUAAUCAGAGCCUGACCACCCUUGCAGCAUCACUUCAUCAUCCAUCUUGUACAUAAUUCCCAGGUUUGCCGUCCCCUUCAGAUGCCUUAGGAUCCUUUUUUUCUUCCAAAUGAACUUCAAUUGGUAUCUCCAUAUACCUUGCCACCAAGAAAAUUGAAUGUGCAAGAUCAGGCCUAGAAGCAAGUAAAUACACCAGGCUCCCCACCAUCUGCUUGUAAUUUGUGGCAUCAACUGGCUUGCCAUUCUCAUCCUUUGUCAACCUACAACCUGACACAAUAUGGUUACAUAAUUUGUUUCAUUGAUCCAUUCCAAAUCUUGUG